CAUCCAGGAGCCUUGCUAAAGUUAUUUAUUAUAAGAUACGUAGAUUCUGGUUAAACAAGGAAAUACAUAUUUAUACAUUGUGUUAAACACUGAACCAAAAACUGAAAAUAGAAAAGGGAGCUUAUCAAGGAAUGGGCUUUUCAGAAACAUAGGAAUUUUAUCUGAAACCUACAGGAUGAGCUGGAACAUCUAUUCAAAGGCUGGAGAAGAGUAUCACAGAGAGAAUGGCAUAUGCAAAGGUCCUGAGGCAGGAAUAGCUGGGCCUGUUUGGGGAAACCAAAGAAGACAGGGAGUCUGGAAGACAGGGAGUCUGGAAUGGGGGUGGGAAUGAAGCCCAGAGUGAGGGUAAACUGAUGGGCAACGGACAGGAACAUGGGGCAGUCACAGCUUAGUCAUACCUCUUGAACUCUAAUCAGAAUGUAUUGGAGAUACUAAAGGGUUACCAUGUGACCAUGUGUUGUUAAUGACUUUGCCCUUUCCCAGGUCACCAAUGACCUCCACGAGGCGGAAGUCAAUGGGCAGAGGCCUCAGGCAUCUAACCCAUCAGGACCAUCUCACACAGGUGGCCCCUCCUUUAUCCUAGAAACAGUCUUCACUUGGCUUUCAUGGACACCCCCACUCUCCUCCUCCCCCACAGGCCGCUCCCUCUCCAUCUCCUUUGCUACAUUUCCCUGACAUUUUGACACUUGAGGCUUCAUGGCUCAGAUCUUGCUCCCACUCAUUAUUUGGCCUUUAUCCCACUCAUUUACCACGUUCCCACAGGCAAGCAUUCCAAUGUGUUCUGAGUGCUUUUGUUUGUAGAUGUGCUUAGGGAACAUGUGUUAUUUCCUAGGAAACACAUUUCAUUGAAUGGUUCACAUAGUGGCUUCUCAGGGCACAGAGGGACCCUCCUGACUGUGGUUUUCUCCUCGUCUCUGUCACAUUUCUGUUCGCCUGCCCUUCCUGGUACCCUGGGGCAGCCUCUCUCAGGCCAGGGUCUCACCAAAGCCUCCUCACCCAGGCUUUGCCUCAGCUGGACCGUGGCGCUUCCCCAGAGCUGCCUCUGCCCACCGUGCGCUUGUAAGAAACAGGUCCCACCUCCGCGCCUGCUGUGUGCGGGCCUCAGGACCACACCCCGGAGGCUGCUGCCGGGACCAUCUCUAACCACCUGCUCGUUCUCCUCACAGAAUGUGUGAAAGGGAAGCGAGCACCAUUUAAAGGCCCCUACCUCCACUCUGCUCAUCCAACCAUUGGACAAAUACAGCCCAAACCCCCCCACCCCCAAUGCCAGGCUACUGUAUAUAAUACGCAGGCGGGCAGAAGGAUGAAACGGGCCAGGACUACGGGCACCAACGCCUGGCGAUCUGAGGUUGGGCACAUUCCCAACCCUCCUUGGGCUUCAGGUUCUCCCCAUGGCACGUGGUUUCCUCGGUCAUGUGCCUGGGUGGCCUGUGGUACGCAGUGACUAUGGCAGUGCAGUGACAACAUAGCAGCUGGUGGAUGAGGAAAAGUCAAUCCGUGCUGGACGGGCGCCACGUGCCCAAUAGCUGAAGGCCCCACUUUAGGGGACUGCCAAGGGGGGACCCCCACUUUGCUGAGCCAUGGGGGAACCAGGUGACGCCACUCGGAGGGGAGGUUUCAGAGGCUUUGCAGACAAAAAAGACUGAGUGUAGAGAGUGGCUCUGCUGGUCUUUAUUCACUGCCCAGCAGGAGCCCAUAGGCUCUGUAUAAACAACAGAGAGAAAGAAGAUCUUGCUCCUCCAGGGGUGAGGAAGGUAUAAAAUUCCGAUUUUCACUUCAAAUAUAACCCGAGUUAGAGGAACUCCGCCCCCUGCAAAGUGCACCUCCCUCUCCUGAACAGCACCUGCGGCUUUCGGGGAACGGGAGAGCAGAGCUCCCUGUGGCCCCACAAGCUCUGGGGUUGGUGGUAACUGGGGCUCUGCUCCUGCCCUUGAGCGUCCUUUCCCUGUAGAAAGAGAAGCCCUGGGGUCUUGGGUCAGGCCCAGAGCCCAGGAGCAGGCUGUCCACACCAGGAGAGGCAUCCGGCUGCUGCGCCUCCAGAGCCAGCUCCGUGUGCCCGGAAAGGAGCCCAGUCCCCGUGGAGGCCCUCCCUUGAGCCUGUGGUCUGGGAGCUGGGAUGAAGGUAGAGGCCCAGGCUGAGGACAGGUGGGUGGGUGGUACCAGCCAUGGAUGGAGCAGCAGGUGAGCGGACAACUUCUAAGACCUUGUUGCACCAAGGACGCCUCGGGUUCCUCGGGAGUGGACCUGCCGCCCCAGAAGCCACCUGACAACGCGAAUCUCCCAUGACAUCUCGGCCAACUUGUCCACCACUGGGCUUCAAGCCCUGCCCCAGAGGUCACACUGAACAUGAGACGUGUGGGACUUGGGACUGGACUGGACUCGGGCCACUGACCCGAGGCCCACACAGCCCAGCCCUGCCUGAGCCUGAGCAUCAGGGGCUGGGUUAUAUGGUUGCCUCUUAACUCCAGACUCCAGCCCAGCCAGCUCACUCUGAACUGUCUCCUGGUAUCAAUGAGGCAAAUGGAACUGCUUUGUUUCUGCCCUGACUUUGCAGGUCAUUGCCCAGGGCUCCCCAAGAGCCAGUGGCUAAUCCCCUGAUUCGCAGCAACCUCGAGUCGGUAGGCCAGAGACCCAGCCUCGCUGCACUCUGCGUCCCCAUGGCUCAGACCUGGCUCUGGAACGAGCUUGGGGGUGGGACCCAGGCUCCUGAGUCAGAGCUCCUGGGCUGUGCCUAGGCCCUGACGCUGUGGCUGUGGGACCGUGUGAAAGCUCCCUGGAUGGUCUGUGUGUCAUCUCCCCGCUUAUAAACGGGGUGACGAAGGUGCUUCCUAGCAUGUGGACUGAGGAAGAGAUGGCACCAGUGGUUAGUUAGCUCAGACCAUGUCAGCCCUGCCCUGUGCCUGCCACAGCCUGGCCAGGGGGCAGGGGACCCUAGCUCUGGGCGCUGGCCGGAGAGCUGGGAGAUUCACUGACCUUGGCUCCCACCAGGAAACAGUGAGCAGGAGCCGGUCAGGGCCUGGGCUGGGGGGGGUGGAGGGGCGAGGGCGGGGAUUAACUCCUGGAGGGAUGGUUUUUCUACUAAAUGAGCAUCGCCUUGGUCUGAGGGAGAGGUAGGGGAACCCAUGACUGUCCUCAGCACCGGGAAGCUGCCUGCUUCCUGCCAUUCGUGAUGAUGACGAACAGGGCUUAGUCCAAGGGCCAGGAGGGAGCGUGGGGAAAGGCAGCCUCUUGGCCACACGCGGCGCCUUCGGUCUGGGAGACCUGAGAGCUGGGGUCCUGGAACAGAGGAACGCGGCCGCCCAGAUGCCUCCGGGGCCAGGCCAGCUCCCGGCUCUAA